ensembl:piRNA 21ur-1495 ncRNA
GUCAGGCUCAGUCUUAUCAUC